AUUUAGUGGCUGAAAUAAAAGCAAUGGUCUCUUAAACCAACACAUGGUACCAACUACCCUAAGUAGC
rnacentral:tRNA from 1 species